UACGUAGGGGGCAAGCGUUGUCCGGAUUUAUUGGGCGUAAAGAGCUCGUAGGUGGUUCGGUAAGUCGGAUGUGAAAUCUCCAGGCUCAACCUGGAGGGGUCAUUCGAUACUGCCGUGACUAGAGUUCGGUAGGGGAGUGUGGAAUUCCUGGUGGAGCGGUGAAAUGCGCAGAUAUCAGGAGGAACACCCGGUGGCGAAGGCGGUCUCUGGCGCAUUACCUGACGCUGAGGAGCGAAAAGUGCGGGUAGGGCGAAACAGG
rnacentral:rRNA from 1 species